rnacentral:rRNA from 1 species
ACGAGCGCAACCCCCGUGGUCAGUUGCGGAUGUUUCUGACCAGACUGCCGGCAGCAAACCGGAGGAAGGUGGGGAUGACGUCAAGUCAGCAUGGCCCUUACGUCCUGGGCUACACACACGCUACAAUGGCCGGUACAACGGGUUGCCAAACCGCGAGGUGGAGCUAAUCCCUUAAAGCCGGUCUCAGUUCGGAUUGCAGGCUGCAACUCGCCUGCAUGAAGCCGGAGUUGCUAGUAACCGCAGGUCAGCACACUGCGGUGAAUAUGUUCCCGGGCCUUGUACACACCGCCCGUCACGUCAUGAAAGCCGAUAACACCCGAAGCCGGUGGGCCAACCGCAAGGAGGCAGCCGU